rnacentral:rRNA from 1 species
ACGGGAGGCAGCAGUGGGGAAUUUUGCGCAAUGGGGGAAACCCUGACGCAGCAACGCCGCGUGCGGGAUGAAGGCCUUCGGGUUGUAAACCGCUUUCAGUAGGGAAGAAAUUGACGGUACCUACAGAAGAAGCUCCGGCUAACUACGUGCCAGCAGCCGCGGUAAUACGUAGGGAGCGAGCGUUAUCCGGAUUCAUUGGGCGUAAAGCGCGCGUAGGCGGCGAUGUAAGCGGAAUCUCUAAUCUGAGGGCUCAACCCCCAGCCGGAUUCCGAACUGCAUUGCUCGAGUGCGGUAGAGGUAAGCGGAAUUCCCGGUGUAGCGGUGAAAUGCGCAGAUAUCGGGAAGAACACCGAUGGCGAAGGCAGCUUACUGGGCCGUCACUGACGCUGAGGUGCGAAAGCGUGGGGAGCGAACAGGAUUAGAUACCCUGGUA